rfam:Trichoderma reesei QM6a unplaced genomic scaffold TRIREscaffold_1, whole genome shotgun sequence.
ACAUACGACCAUAUCCAUUGGAAAAUACGGGAUCCCGUCUGCUCUCCCAGAGUCAAGCCAAUGAGAGGCAGAUUAGUAGUCAGGUGGGUGACCACUGGCGAACACCGGCUGUUGUAUGUC